rnacentral:rRNA from 1 species
GGUCUUAUCAAUUCUGGAGGAGAAGGGGGGGAAGACACAAGUGGGGUAGACUGUCGCUGGCCCCUCGGGGCAUGUGCACGUCUUCCUUCUGUGUCGACCUUUCUCUUUCUCUCUCACACACCUGUGCACCCAUUGUAGGUCCUCGCAAGAGGAUCUAUGUUUUUCAUAUCACACCCAUCGUAUGUCUAUAGAAUGUAUUGAAAAACGUCGACCUGUCUCACAGGCCUGGCGCUCAAUAAAUCCAUACAACUUUCAGCAACGGAUCUCUUGGCUCUCGCAUCGAUGAAGAACGCAGCGAAUUGCGAUAAGUAAUGUGAAUUGCAGAUUUUCAGUGAAUCAUCGAAUCUUUGAACGCACCUUGCGCUCCUUGGUAUUCCGAGGAGCAUGCCUGUUUGAGUGUCAUCGAAUUCUCAACCAUGUCUUGAUUGAUUUCAAGCCAUGGCUUGGACUUGGGGGCUUGCUGGCGGCGAUCAGCUGUCAGCUCUCCUGAAAUGCAUUAGCAAAGGAUUGGGCAAGUCUUUGACGUGCACGGCCUUCGACGUGAUAAUGAUCGUCGUGGCUGGAGCGUAAGGCGUGCAUGAAUGGUCCUGUGCUUCUAAUCUAUCCUAGCCUCUGGUCGCCUUUUAGCUACUAGUCGGUCGUGAGGCCUGACGAACGUUUGGAGUG